AACCGCCUCAGAGCACAACAACAAACUCUUCACCUGCAUCAUCCUCAACAACACUGGAACAAGAUAAACAGCAAACAACCAGCAGCCUCCCUCUGGUUUUUGGCAUUCUGGGAGUUUUACUGCUGGUGAUAUCCGGUGUAGUGGCAUAUAUUUGUUGGAGACGCAAAGGAGGAAGAUGUGGAGAGAACGUGAUUACUGAAGGACGUCCGGACUGUAAGAGAAAGCAGAAGGAUCAGAUUGGGUCUGAUGUCACUGUAUUUACUACUGUUAUUUACACUUACUACUCUACUGACCCACAUGAACACAGCCGGAGCAGCAGAUCAUCACUGGACAGAAAACUGAAUAUGGCAGCAUUAUAACAAACUAAUCCAGAGUAAAUAUAGACACAUGCUCAGAUAUUAUAGAAUAAUGCUGAAAACAUAUAUUAAAUACGCUCUAUGGCCAGCACGGGAUUCACAAUAUUGACUUUUUCAGAUUUUUAUACAUAUUACAAUUAAAUAUCAGAUUCAGGCAUAAACAUGUGUGUUCCAUUUACUUAUGUUAGCUAAGUGUAUUGUUCCGCAUUCAUUGUUUAUCAUUAAUUGCUGAUGGAUAAUCUCGCUAAUUAUAUUUUGAGUGUACGUGUCAUUUUAUAUCUUAUGUGUACCAUACUUAUAUCAGGUUAAGAAAUGAAAGCUCUAGAAGGCUGUUGACAUCAUGCUGUUUUGUGUAAGAAGACUGCUAUAGAUGUUCUUAUUUGUGACUUUUAAUGACUGGGUAAAAAUAAAAGAAGGAGGAUUGUUGAAUCGGACUGAAUGUGUUUCUAAUCUAGCUUUUGUAAAAUUUUCAUAAUAGUCCUUAUAGAUUGUUACAGGUUUUUUUUGUUUAUUUUGUUUUUUUAAACAAUAUUGAGGUAAUUUUUUUCAAAGUUCACACAGUUAGCACAGCAGCGGUCUGAGUGGACUGAACUAUGGCUCAGUUUUUAUUGCUUGGAGACAAAAGACAUUGAAUAAGUUCAUCAUUCAAUAUUCAUGAAUUCUUUUUUCACACAAAUUCAACUUCCAGCAAAUCUCUGUGUAUCUACUGCACAUGUUUCCAAACUGUUGUGUACAGUUUA